GAUGAACGCUAGCUACAGGCCUAACACAUGCAAGUCGAGGGGACACGCCAUCGAAAGCUUGCUUUUGCUGGGCGUCGACCGGCGCACGGGUGAGUAACGCGUAUCCCACAUGCCCACCACUUAGGGAUAACCUUGCGAAAGUAAUACUAAUACCCAUUGACGUCUCUAGAAGACAUCUGAAAGAGAUUAAUGUUUUAUCGGUUAUAGAUGGGGAUGCGUCUGAUUAGCUUGUUGGCGGGGUAACGGCACACCAAGGCGACGAUGAGUAGGGGAUCUGAGAGGAAGCCACACCAGAAUGGAGACGCGGUCCGGACCAAUAUCCGACGGAAGGGAGGAGAGAGGAACAUUGUGCGAUGGAGCAGAGUCGGACCAAGCCAAGUGGGGUGCAGGAGGACGGCCAUAGUGGUUGUAAACUGCUUUUAUAAGAGAAAAAAGUGAGUCUCGUGAGACUUUUUGCAGGUACCUAAUGAAUAAGGACCGGCUAACUCCGUG
rnacentral:rRNA from 1 species